CGUGCUUAACACAUGCAAGUCGAACGGUGAAAGAGGAAGCUUGCUUCUUCUGGAUCAGUGGCGAACGGGUGAGUAACACGUGAGUAACCUGCCCUUGACUCUGGGAUAAGCGUUGGAAACGACGUCUAAUACCGGAUACGAGCUUCAGCCGCAUGGCUAGGAGCUGGAAAGAACUUCGGUCAAGGAUGGACUCGCGGCCUAUCAGCUAGUUGGUGAGGUAACGGCCCACCAAGGCGACGACGGGUAGCCGGCCUGAGAGGGUGACCGGCCACACUGGGACUGAGACACGGCCCAGACUCCUACGGGAGGCAGCAGUGGGGAAUAUUGCACAAUGGGCGCAAGCCUGAUGCAGCAACGCCGCGUGAGGGACGACGGCCUUCGGGUUGUAAACCUCUUUUAGUAGGGAAGAAGCGAAAGUGACGGUACCUGCAGAAAAAGCACCG
rnacentral:rRNA from 1 species